rnacentral:rRNA from 1 species
UCGAACGGUAGAAGUGCCUUCGGGCACUUUGAGAGUGGCGCACGGGUGCGUAACGCGUAUGCAACCUACCUUCAGUUGGGGGAUAGCCCGGGGAAACCCGGAUUAAUACCGCAUAACACAGGGGCCCCGCAUGGGGAUAUUUGUUAAAGAUUUAUCGACUGAAGAUGGGCAUGCGUCUGAUUAGCUAGUUGGUGAGGUAACGGCUCACCAAGGCGACGAUCAGUAGGGGAUCUGAGAGGAUGACCCCCCACACUGGUACUGAGAUACGGACCAGACUCCUACGGGAGGCAGCAGUAAGGAAUAUUGGACAAUGGGCGGAAGCCUGAUCCAGCCAUGCCGCGUGCAGGAAGACGGCCCUACGGGUUGUAAACUGCUUUUGUAAGGGAAUAAUAAGGCGGACGGGUUCCGUCGAUGAAGGUACCUUACGAAUAAGCAUCGGCUAACUCCGUGCCAGCAGCCGCGGUAAUACGGAGGAUGCAAGCGUUAUCCGGAUUUAUUGGGUUUAAAGGGUGCGUAGGCGGCCUGUUAAGUCAGGGGUGAAAGGUUGCGGCUUAACCGCAGAAUUGCCUUUGAUACUGGCAGGCUUGAAUAAAGUUGAGGUAGGCGGAAUGUGGCAAGUAGCGGUGAAAUGCAUAGAGAUGCCACAGAACACCGAUUGCGAAGGCAGCUUACUAAGCUUUGAUUGACGCUGAGGCACGAAAGCGUGGGGAUCAAACAGGAUUAGAUACCCUGGUAGUCCACGCAGUAAACGAUGAAAACUAGCUGUUGGCGAUAGAAUGUCAGCGGCACAGCGAAAGCGUUAAGUUCUCCACCUGGGGAGUACGACCGCAAGGUUGAAACUCAAAGGAAUUGACGGGGGCCCGCACAAGCGGAGGAGCAUGUGGUUUAAUUCGAUGAUACGCGAGGAACCUUACCUGGGCUUGAAAGUGAGUGACCGGCGCUGAAAGGCGCCCUCCCUUCGGGGCACAAAACUAGGUGCUGCAUGGCUGUCGUCAGCUCGUGCCGUGAGGUGUUGGGUUAAGUCCCGCAACGAGCGCAACCCCUAUCAUCAGUUGCCAUCAGGUAAAGCUGGGGACUCUGGUGAGACUGCCUGCGCAAGCAGUGAGGAAGGAGGGGACGACGUCAAGUCAUCAUGGCCCUUACGUCCAGGGCUACACACGUGCUACAAUGGUAGCUACAGAGGGCAGCGACCUUGCAAAAGGGAGCCAAUCCCAAAAAGGCUAUCACAGUUCGGAUUGAGGUCUGCAACUCGACCUCAUGAAGUUGGAUUCGCUAGUAAUCGCGUAUCAGCAAUGACGCGGUGAAUACGUUCCCGGGCCUUGUACACACCGCCCGUCAAGCCAUGGAAGCCGGGGGUACCUGAAGGCCGUAGCCGCAAGGAGCGGCUA